rnacentral:sRNA from 1 species
UACUUGCUUCAAGUGGUCUUCCCAUCGC